UACGGAGGGGGCAAGCGUUGUUCGGAAUUACUGGGCGUAAAGGGCGCGCAGGCGGCUGCUCAAGUCAGGCGUGAAAGGCCUGGGCUCAACCCGGGAAUUGCGCUUGAGACUGGGCUGGCUUGAAUGUGGGAGAGGGUAGUAGAAUUCCAGGUGUAGUGGUGAAAUACGUAGAUAUCUGGAGGAAUACCGGUGGCGAAGGCGGCUACCUGGCCCAACAUUGACACUGAGACCCGAAAGCGUGGGGAUCAAACAGG
rnacentral:rRNA from 1 species